GUCUGUGAAGUUCUGGUCGCUUCUGUUCCCAGCUCCAAGAAGCCCUCGCCCUACAUCUGACCUACUAUAGAACAUCAAGUGGAGCCCCACCACCACCACCAAACGCCCCCUCUGUUCCAGUCUUACACACUUAAAUGGCUUAAGAAAUCUUUUAGAAGAUCCUGUGUUUACCUCUGAAGCUCAUAGGUAGGAGGAGAAUAGAUUCCUGUAAGCCCUGUCUGCAAUGUGAACAAGGCCAUGUGAUGCUGGCAGCCAAGAGCAGAGCUUCAUACUGCUUGUGACUUGCAAGAGAAGCAGCUGGACCUAAAGAGCAAGAUGUCAGGUACAGUGACUUCAUAGGGUGAUCAUGAAUUCCUGUGUCCCAGGUGGCAUUGCUGACCUGAAGACUUCAUACAGAGGCAGAUGUGCUCUUCCGGAUGGGGGAGCUGAUACCUGGGCUACAUUGAGUCAUGAAUCUCACCCUCACACAAUCCCUCCCACUUUCCUUUUGCUUUCCUCCUAAAAGCAGAGGAUGUAGUGAUUUCAGUAUCCACUGGAACCACUCAC
ensembl:lncRNA LOC102554935 uncharacterized LOC102554935